GGGCGUAAAGCGCGUGUAGGCGGUUUCCUAAGUCUGAUGUGAAAGCCCCGGGCUCAACCCGGGAAGUGCAUUGGAUACUGGGAGACUUGAAUACGGGAGAGGGUAGUGGAAUUCCUAGUGUAGGAGUGAAAUCCGUAGAUAUUAGGAGGAACACCGGUGGCGAAGGCGGCUACCUGGACCGAUAUUGACGCUGAGACGCGAAAGCGUGGGGAGCAAACAGGAUUAGAUACCCUGGUAGUCCACGCCGUAAACGAUGAGAACUAGGUGUUGCGGGUA
rnacentral:rRNA from 1 species